AUUGAACGCUGGCGGCAUGCCUUACACAUGCAAGUCGAACGGUAACAGGUCUUCGGAUGCUGACGAGUGGCGAACGGGUGAGUAAUACAUCGGAACGUGCCCGAUCGUGGGGGAUAACGGAGCGAAAGCUUUGCUAAUACCGCAUACGAUCUACGGAUGAAAGCAGGGGACCGCAAGGCCUUGCUCGGACGGAGCGGCCGAUGGCAGAUUAGGUAGUUGGUGGGAUAAAAGCUUACCAAGCCGACGAUCUGUAGCUGGUCUGAGAGGACGACCAGCCACACUGGGACUGAGACACGGCCCAGACUCCUACGGGAGGCAGCAGUGGGGAAUUUUGGACAAUGGGCGCAAGCCUGAUCCAGCCAUGCCGCGUGCAGGAUGAAGGCCUUCGGGUUGUAAACUGCUUUUGUACGGAACGAAAAGACUCUUUCUAAUAAAGAGGGUCCAUGACGGUACCGUAAGAAUAAGCACCGGCUAACUACGUGCCAGCAGCCGCCGUAAAAC
rnacentral:rRNA from 1 species